UACGAAGGGGGCUAGCGUUGUUCGGAAUUACUGGGCGUAAAGCGCACGUAGGCGGAUUGUUUAGUCGGGGGUGAAAUCCCGGGGCUCAACCCCGGAAUUGCCUCCGAUACUGGCAGUCUCGAGGCCGAGAGAGGUGAGUGGAACUCCGAGUGUAGAGGUGAAAUUCGUAGAUAUUCGGAAGAACACCAGUGGCGAAGGCGGCUCACUGGCUCGGUACUGACGCUGAGGUGCGAAAGCGUGGGGAGCAAACAGG
rnacentral:rRNA from 1 species